AUUGAACGCUGGCGGCAUGCCUUACACAUGCAAGUCGAACGGCAGCACGGGUGCUUGCACCUGGUGGCGAGUGGCGAACGGGUGAGUAAUACAUCGGAACAUGUCCUGUAGUGGGGGAUAGCCCGGCGAAAGCCGGAUUAAUACCGCAUACGAUCUACGGAUGAAAGCGGGGGACCUUCGGGCCUCGCGCUAUAGGGUUGGCCGAUAGCUGAUUAGCUAGUUGGUGGGGUAAAGGCCUACCAAGGCGACGAUCAGUAGCUGGUCUGAGAGGACGACCAGCCACACUGGGACUGAGACACGGCCCAGACCCCUACGGGAGGCAGCAGUGGGGAAUUUUGGACAAUGGGCGAAAGCCUGAUCCAGCAAUGCCGCGUGUGUGAAGAAGGCCUUCGGGUUGUAAAGCACUUUUGUCCGGAAAGAAAUCCUUGGCUCUAAUACAGUCGGGGGAUGACGGUACCGGAAGAAUAAGCACCGGCUAACUACGUG
rnacentral:rRNA from 1 species